GCACAAGCGGUGGAUGAUGUGGAUUAAUUCGAUGCAACGCGAAAAACCUUACCUACCCUUGACAUGUACGGAAUCCUUGAGAGAUCAGGGAGUGCUUGAAAGAGAGCCGUAACACAGGUGCUGCAUGGCUGUCGUCAGCUCGUGUCGUGAGAUGUUGGGUUAAGUCCCGCAACGAGCGCAACCCUUGUCAUUAGUUGCUACGAAAGGGCACUCUAAUGAGACUGCCGGUGACAAACCGGAGGAAGGUGGGGAUGACGUCAAGUCCUCAUGGCCCUUAUGGGUAGGGCUUCACACGUCAUACAAUGGUACAUACAGAGGGCCGCCAACCCGCGAGGGGGAGCUAAUCCCAGAAAGUGUAUCGUAGUCCGGAUUGUAGUCUGCAACUCGACUACAUGAAGUUGGAAUCGCUAGUAAUCGCGGAUCAGCAUGUCGCGGUGAAUACGUUCCCGGGUCUUGUACACACCGCCCGUCACACCAUGGGAGCGGGUUUCACCAGAAGUAGGUAGCCUAACCGUAAGGAGGGCGCUUACCACGGUGGGAUUCGUGACUGGGGUGAAGUCGUAACAAGGUAACC
rnacentral:rRNA from 1 species